AACGCACAUUGCGCCCUUCGGUAUUCCGUUGGGCAUGCCUGUUCGAGCGUCAUUUAAACCUUCAAGCUUCUGCUUGGUGUUGGGCGUUUGUUCCGCCUCCGCGCGUGGACUCGCCUCAAAUUCAUUGGCAGCCGGUCAGUUGGCUUUCGUGCGCAGCACAUUGCGUAGCGGCUCCAGCUUGCCUCCUACCAUUAAGCUACUCCUACAUCUUUUGACCUCGGAUCAGGUAGGGAUACCCGCUGAACUUAA
rnacentral:misc_RNA from 1 species